rnacentral:tRNA from 1 species
UGCCUUUUGACCUGGGUAUUUGCCUCCCUUACAAGGACAAGGUCACAGGUUCAAAUCCUGUACCGGCCACCA